UUUGUUAAUUCACUAUCAUGGUGUUAUAAGUUGAGAAGAUUUAACUUUUUACAUACAUCAUAACCAACAAUGGAUCAUCAGAAUCUUAGGAAAUGUCUGGUUUUAUUUUGGAGUUUAAGCAUGUAAUGAAUCUCUCAGGGAAAAAAAGGAAGGAAUAUGAAAAUUGUGCUAAAUUUUGACUUCUAUUGUUUGCUUCUUCACGGUUAGUAUCUGGCAUGCCUUGGCCUGAGGGUUAUUGACACUUCGUUUAUAUAUGAAUUUAGAUCUGUCUCAAGGAAUUUUUCCCAUAACUCUUGCAGAUUUUUUGAUCCAUCUUCUCCUUCAAAAUAUGUCUCUUAGUUUUUAAUUUAAAAAAUUAAGAAUCUUUUAUAUCUCUUAUUUAAAAGAUGUAUUUUAGUUUUUUUUUUAGUUAAAAAUUAAGAGAUUGUAUCUUAUAUUACGAUAAAAACUCUAUCAUAAGAGACAUGCAUUAAUCAUGCUCUUAAAAACAUUAUUAUCCCUGGUUCUUAUGGGUGUUUCUUAGGGUAAUUAGUAAUUAAAAAAAAUUAAGAUAAGAAACGAUUCUUAAUUAGGGGAAGGAAGAGACGUCUCUUGUUGGACACGUGUUGAUAGGAAAAGAAAAUGGUGCUUUCCUCGACGAAGGAAACUCGCCUUCUUCCUCGUCGGACCACUGAAGCUCAUCAUCGGUUUCCUCUUCUUCUAUGUCGCUAACGAAGUCAAUUUUGCAACUAGGUUCGUCCUUGAUUUCCGCAAAAGUGAGGAGGAGGCGUCCGUCUUGGCGCUUGGCGGAGAAGUUGUUGUGCGACGGCACAGAGACAGCCUCGAGAACCAGUCGGCUGUUUUCAUCUCAAUCUCUCUCGCAUCGAAGAGAAACAAAGUGUUACUUGCAGACUUCUGGUUCUCAGGAGCUGACCAUGGCGAGUUAUUAUCUCGCUCCUUUUUCAGUUGGAGUGAGUGGUUCUUGGUAUCUCAUGGGUUGAUUACAACUUCCCAGCACUAGAGUCUCUUCGAGUUCUAGUGGUUGUGAUCUUUCGGCUCUUCUUCAGGCUCGGUCUAGUAAUGUGUGGUAGUGCAGUGGUCUAUCAGCUCCGUGUUGUGUUCAGGUUCGAUGGCGGCAGUAGUGAGUUCUUUGCUCAGUUGGGAGGCGAUUUCAAGUGUUGUGUGGCGCUGUGUACAAGCCCGGCUUUGGUGUGAUUGCAAGGCUUAGAGGUACGUAUCCGAAUCCUCCCCUGUUGGUUGUCUUGCGCUUCAUAAACAGUGAUGGUUACAAGCUCGGUGGAGAUCAUCGGAAACCAGCUACUCCGGAAACGACACGAGAAUUCCCGGCAUCCGAGGCAACAAGGAGAACCUCACCUUCUCGUGUUUUUCGUGGAUGGUUGAGAACGGCAACCGAUUCUAAAGGAUUUCGAAAAACGGACUAGCGGGCGGGCGAAGCUAGUUUGUAAUAGUUUGAUUUUGGAAAUUUUGUUCAAAACCAGUUUGUAACUGGAUCCGAAUCCCCGAUUUCGGGUAGAAUUAAUAUAUAAUAUAUAAUUAAAAAAAAAGUGUUACUUGCAGCAGUUUGUGUUGUGUAAUAAGAUAGAUUUGUUGUCAGCUUUGAUACUUUUAUGCCUUUUGAUAUCGAAAAAGGAUUCAAGGGUCAUUAAAGAUGUUGUCUUUACUUGUUUCA